GGGAAGUUCCACUGUGCUAAUUAAUUGCAUAUUCAAUAACAAAUUGCGAGAUUUAAAAAGUCUUUAGAGAAGUACAGAUCUGAAGCUUCUAGGCUGAAAUAACAUGUCAAGUUUACAGCGUAUUUGGUUUCUUGGCAGAAAAGGGUUUCCCAGCAGAAGUUAUCGAUCAGCUGAACAUUUGAAUGGUUUUCCCUCAUAACAUUUGCCUUGAUCAACAGUUGCAAUAUACCAACCUUCUCCUUCAGUGUCAUUGCUGCUAAAUCGGAUAUCCUUUUAACAAACGAAAAUUCCGCCAACUGAGAAAGGAUUGUACUUUUCUUACUAAAAUUUCAGGACAGCGCAAGACCGCGCAAACGAGAAGCCAGGAGGUUCUUUUAGCGCAAAGAGAUCGCAUAAGGAUUAGUGCCAGUCUCCCUCGACCGUAAAUUCGCGGGUUUUUCAUAGUGGUCAGCAGUAUGUAUUGCGGCUUUACAGAACCAAAAUGGCGGAGUUCGGGCGGCGGAGGUGGAGAGAAUCGGUACACGAGAAAGAGUUUAUUCGUUUGAAAGAGAUGAAUUAUUGCCCAGAAACUGUUGUAGUACAUACUGCGUUUUUGUUAGCGGACAUAGAGGCUGUCCGAGGUCUAAACGAGUUAGAGAAAGGCAAGGGCAGUAAAGCGAUACAAAUCGUUUCAGAGGCUAUCGUGGAAAUGACGCAGAAAUCACCUCUUGACGAGAAAAACAAUUUACACCAAGUGGGAGCUACAGAACUUGAGUUUAAGAUCCAUUCCUGGGUAUUCUCCUCGCUGUUUAGGAGAUAUGGUGGCCUUGAGUUUGGCGAGUCACCCGAGGAAGAUUAUUUUGACAGCUUUCCGCCUUUGCCCCAAAUUGGCGUUAGUUUUUACCUAGAGCUGGUGCAGGAAGUGGGAUGGAGUGAGCUUUUGGUAGAAUGUCUCUAUGCCGUUGGUGUGGAAAACAUAACAUCACUUCUGGAGGAUGUCAUCAAGUGCCUUAUCCAAGACCCCAGCUUUAAAGAUCUCUCUCUUUUUCUCUGUCUUUUUAACUCUUUGUUAAUGACAGAAAAUCAGCAUCCAUCAACUGAGGAACAGGAGAGAAAACUAUGUGAUGUGCCUGGAACCAAGUCUCACUCAUUAGUGUUGCUGGAAGGUGUAGCUAGCCUCAAAGGGGAUUUUAUCAACUGGCCAGCAGCACAGCUGGAUUUAAUUAAAACUGUUAUUGACUUCGCCAUUACAGAUGUUGUUACUUUGAACUUUAGAAAACAUUGUGCAAAAGGGAAUGAGGAGACCUUAUCCAGAAACUGGCUUGGUCAAAACUCUGUAUCCUGUGAACAUGGGACGUGUUCUGUAGAGGGUGAUGGCCUGGUAGAAACAUCAAGUGUGAAAUCAAUCCAUAGAGAUGAUCUAAAGGCUCAUGGACAACAGAAACAAAUGUCAGACCUUGUUGUUUCAGCUGAAUGUACAGCUUGUUUUGAUUUUCUAUGUCAUGUUAUUAUAAAUGAUUGGAGAGUAACAUCAUGCUGGGAUCAAGAUGAUCAAUUGAAUAGUAUUGGUGAGAUAGAUUACAGAUCAUGGCAUCCUUUACACAAGUGGAUCAUAAAACUUUAUGCUGUGGCAUGCUUUUUUGUUUUGUACUCUGGUGACCACAAGCUGCAGGAGCAAGCUGUGAGGCUACAAAAUGGUCUCUCGGGGUAUGUCAAAGAAUAUGCGACAGAGAAUGAGCAUACAUGGGUCAAUGGCUUUAAAAAAAGAGAAUUGAUUGACUGCAAAGAAAGUUGCUUUAAAGAGGAAUUCAUUUCACCAGUUGGAUCUGUGGAUUUGUUGCUCUUUCAGCCAGAAACUAUGGAAGAACAAUUCCGCUUCUACUUACAAAUAGUUGAUGGCAGGUUAGAAGACUAUAAGGAAUGUUUUGAUUGGUUACUGAGUGCAGAGGAAUUUCACGGAGAAUCUGAUUGGCUGGAAUGCAUGAGGAACCAUGCAGUUGAGAUAAGUGAUGUUCAACAUGCUCUUAAAAUGAUUGACAUUAUCUACAUGCAAAGGCAGUGUCUUUGUGCUGAUGAGAAAUCCAAUGACACAGUCUACAGAGAAAUGAAAGAGACUUUGUUGACUUUGCAAUCCCAGUUGCCUUGUUCUGCUCAGCAACAGAUCAUAGAGUAUGCUUUCUUCAUGAGUUGCUCUUUAAGAUGUCCUGAAAAUGAGUCAAUAUUCUUUCACCCUUGGUUGGUGGCUGAGGAGAGAAUGGCAUUUCAGCAGGAGCUUGUUAUGACCUUCAAUAAACUGAUUGACAUUAGCGAGGAAGAUCAACUUCAGUCAUCUGCAAUAGAUCUGGCUAGAGCUGCACUGCUUUCAGCACCCCUCACUCUUAACAAGGCUUUAGAGGAAGGAGUUAAAAGUGCCGGUCACACAAAGACAAUCUGUUCUGUGCUGCAAAGGUGUCCUGUAUUGUGUUUGUUGAGACAUGACAAAUCAGAUUCCUCGAGAACACUACUUUGCCAGGCAAUCAUUACAGUCACAGUGAGUGUAUCAUCAAGACAACAGGAGAAUAAUCUGUUGAACAUGAUGGCUGCCUUUUUGACUUUCAGUCCUACACAACUACUCAGUGUUCAGGAGUUUACAGAAGCCAUUGUGCUACCAUUUCUGAACAACAACAACAUUCAAGGAGCUAUUCCCACAGCCCUUGCCCUUAAACUUCACAACAUCUCAAUGGAAGCAGUCAUGGCAUCCAUUUCAGUCCAACUUCCAUUCCUCCAAAAACAUGUGUUACCUAUCAUCCUGUGCCUGUGCGAGCUACUGAAUGAUUGCAAUGUGUUCUGGGAUGGUAUAGCUCCAGUGCACUCUCUGUCAGAGAUAGAAGAGCUUAGAGAACUGAUACUCAAGGCUUUGGAGGAUGAAAUCAAGAUUUGUUUUGAGAUUGGACUAUUCCACUUCAUUUGGAGCAACUCUUUAGUGCAGCAUACAUCACAUACAAGUUGUCCAUCCCUGACUGUUUGUUGUUGGUGUGUGAGGAGUCUAGAAACAAGUGGAUGGCAGACUUGGAAUAUGAUGCAGAGAAUGUAUUUACUGUGCUGUUCGAAUACUGUCGUGUAUCUGACUCAACCCUGGAAUGGAUUCUGGAAAAUCUCGUCCCAAACAAAUUAACCAGUGGCUUUGACAACAUUUGGAGAAGUGUAGUGACUAGUUUAACACAGAUUCUUCCUCACUGUACCUGGAAAGAGUGGAAGAGAAUACUUGAAAUGUGUCGACAUCUUAUCCAGAGAAGUAUAUUACAG
rnacentral:misc_RNA from 1 species